AACGAACGCUGGCGGCGUGCCUAACACAUGCAAGUCGAGCGCGAACGACCCCUUCGGGGGACUAGUAGAGCGGCGGACGGGUGAGUAAUACAUGGGUAAUCUGCCCUUGAGCCCGGGAUAACCCUGCGAAAGCGGAGCUAAUACCGGAUAAGACCACGUAGUCUAAGCUACGGGGUAGAAGGUGGCUUGUAUUUAUACAUGCUGUCACUUGAGGAUGAGCCCAUGGCCUAUCAGCUUGUUGGUGAGGUAAGAGCUUACCAAGGCUAUGACGGGUAGCUGGUCUGAGAGGAUGACCAGCCACACUGGGACUGAGACACGGCCCAGACUCCUACGGGAGGCAG
rnacentral:rRNA from 1 species